rnacentral:rRNA from 1 species
UACGUAGGGUGCGAGCGUUGUCCGGAAUUACUGGGCGUAAAGAGCUCGUAGGUGGUUUGUCGCGUUGUUCGUGAAAACUCACAGCUUAACUGUGGGCGUGCGGGCGAUACGGGCAGACUGGAGUACUGCAGGGGGAGACUGGAAUUCCUGGUGUAGCGGUGGAAUGCGCAGAUAUCAGGAGGAACACCGGGUGGGCGAAAGGGCGGG